rnacentral:rRNA from 1 species
CUACGGGAGACUCCAGUGAGGAAUAUUGCACAAUGGGGGGAACCCUGAUGCAGCAACGCCGCGUGGAGGAUGACGCAUUUCGGUGUGUAAACUCCUUUUAUAUGUCAAGAAAAUGACGGUAGCACAUGAAUAAGCACCGGCUAACUCCGUGCCAGCAGCCGCGGUAAUACGGAGGGUGCAAGCGUUACUCGGAAUCACUGGGCGUAAAGGACGCGUAGGCGGGUUGGAAAGUCAGGUGUGAAAUCCUACAGCUUAACUGUAGAACUGCACUUGAAACUUCUAAUCUAGAGUAUGGGAGGGGGAGAUGGAAUUAGUGGUGUAGGGGUAAAAUCCGUAGAUAUCACUAGGAAUACCUAAAGCGAAGGCGAUCUCCUGGAACAUUACUGACGCUAAGGCGUGAAAGCGUGGGGAGCAAACAGGAUUAGAUACCCUCGUAGUC